GGGCCGGCGGCCAGCGCGGGAGCAGCGGCAGCAGAGGCGAAGGCUGCGGCGCGUCUCUGUCCUCCCCGUCAGCCUAAGCCGGGGAAGGCCAGGCGGACCGGGCGGCUGGAGGGGGUCCGCUGCCCGAGGAUGGGAAUUCUCUUCACCAGGAUAUGGAGACUGUUCAAUCACCAGGAGCACAAAGUUAUCAUUGUUGGGCUGGAUAAUGCAGGGAAAACUACCAUCCUUUACCAAUUUUCUAUGAAUGAAGUUGUACAUACAUCCCCUACAAUAGGAAGUAAUGUAGAAGAGAUAGUGAUUAAUAAUACACGAUUUCUAAUGUGGGAUAUUGGUGGCCAAGAAUCUCUUCGUUCUUCCUGGAACACAUACUAUACUAACACAGAGUUUGUAAUAGUUGUGGUGGACAGUACAGACAGAGAGAGGAUUUCUGUAACUAGAGAAGAACUCUAUAAGAUGUUAGCCCACGAGGAUCUAAGGAAAGCUGGAUUGCUGAUUUUUGCUAAUAAACAAGAUGUUAAAGAAUGCAUGACUGUAGCAGAAAUCUCCCAGUUUUUGAAACUAACUUCUAUUAAAGAUCACCAGUGGCAUAUCCAGGCAUGCUGUGCUCUUACUGGCGAGGGAUUAUGCCAAGGACUUGAAUGGAUGAUGUCACGACUUAAGAUUAGAUGAUCUCUACUGACUUCUUCUCAUAGACUUUGUAUAAACGAAGUGCUGGACUUUCCUGAAAGCUGCAAAAAUUAAUGGUUCAGAUAUAUUUAUAAUAAACUGAUUUAAACUUUUUCUAUAAGAAGAAAAUUAAGACCACUUGUUUGAAAUGAAGAUGAAGUCUCACGUUCCAACUGCUUUCUCAUUAGUUUCUUCCAAAGCAAGGUCUUAAAGCUGUGAUUGACAUUUUUCUCAUAAUGAAUCCUCUCAGGACAUUGUGUAGCCUGUGUGGGAACCGAACCCGGGACUCUGGUCUGCAGGCCGACGCUCCAGCCGCUGAACCAAACUGGCCAGGACGGCAAUUUUUUUUCAAUAUCUGAAAGUCAAAGGCAUUCUGUUGUAACUGUAGACACCGAACUACGUGUGUUAAAACAUAUUCUUGGGUACUCCAUCCCUGAAAAUCUGAAUGCUAAUCCAAACUGGCAUGUUUUAGAAUAUUCAAGAAAAAAGUAAUUACUUUUAUAUCAGCUUUUUAGAUUUCAUGAAGAUUUUGAUGAGGAAUAAUAUAUACGAUAAGCAUUGACAAAACUUUGAAAAUUCCUUUCUACAAAAUUAAAAUACUCAGUGUCUAAGUCAGGCGUGAGAGAUGAUCAGUGUUUAGCAUUGGAUGUUUUAUGUUUUAUAUUUAUAUUAUAAUGUUCAAAAUGCAAGUAUAACAUUUUAUUAUUUGUCAACUUUUACAAAAGUAAAUUCUAAAUUACUAAGCUUUAUUUGUUUAUAUGUUCUCAUACUUUAUUUCAAAUCACUAUAAGGAAUUGUUAUAUAUUAAAAACUCUCUUAGAAACCCAAAUCUAUGAUGUAGAUACUGCAUUUUCAUCAGGGAAAAAUAUUCUAUAUAGUAGCCCAGCAAAUCCACACCUUUUAACCUUGUUAGUGGUUAAUUUGAGUAAUCACAGUUCAGUCUCUUGGAUUGCUACCACAUCAGUUCAGCAGUAUACCAGCACAUUCCCUUGUCAUCAAGGUGUUGGCUAAAAUGUAUUCUAAUUGGAUGUUUAAAGUGUGCACUACAUUGUUGCAGUUGGUUUAGUGUAGUAGAUUACUGACUUGGCAUUAUGAGAAUGCAUGAAAUCUUAUACCACAUUUGGAAAUUUUUUUUAUAUUCUACCAUUCUAGGCUAAGCAUUAGAAAUGUUACCUAUAUAUUUGUGCAUAAAACCAAAAUUAAAUGGGGAAAGUAAUUUAAAUUCAUGUCUGAAAAUACAUCAAAAUCAUUUUAACAGUAUUAUUUCCAAAUAAGAUGGAGAGCCUCAUGAAUAGUCAUAUUGACAAUUUAUAUGUAGUUUAAGUGGACUUAAACAAAGGACAGUGCUUUGGGUUUUUUAAUACACUACGCUUGGAUGUAAACAAGCAUUUUAUUUUGGGUCAUUGUGCUCAACUUUGAAAAGAACAAAGCUUCAUACCUCUCUGUACAUGUGGCUGGAUUUAAAUAUCCCGUAUUUGAUACUAAUUUUGAAAGUCUGAUGACUUUUCUUGAUAUCUUGGUAAAAGUAGCCAUAUGGUAUAAGCAUUUAUGUUCAAUUUUGCCAUAAUAGCAUUUAUAAAAUGUAUCUUGCACAGUAUAUUGAGUUCUUGUUUGAAGUUUUCAGUUCUGUCUUCUUUGGCUCUCACAGUGGGCAAAGAGUACAAUGAAGGCAGGUAGUUUGGGGGCCAGGGGAAGUGGGUAGGGAAUAUGACAUUUUGCCUUAAGAAUGAAGUGUUUUAGCACUGCUGACUGGCAUUUUUAAUGCAGAUAGUUAAAGGGAUUUUUAGAAAUGUGUCAUGGAGUAGAAGAGUUUCUGUCUUCUGGCCUUUAAGAAGUGCCUCGUAGGUGGUUACAGUGAGAUCACAGAGAAGGGCAGAGUGCUUGAGGAAAUCAGGAAGUCCCCAAGAUAUUCUUUUCUCUUUUUGCCUGAGUGUACAUAGUAUUAAGAUGCCUAGAAAUGGGAUUCGAUUAUACUCUCUUAUAGGCACUUUACUAGAGCAACCACAUGCAGUACAGACAACCUCGAAAUCUGUUUAUAUUAGUGUAAAUAGAAAAACUGUAGACAGUUUUCUAGUUUUCUCUGCAGGCAUUUUUGGGAAUGUAUCUGUAGUGUGUUCUAUAUAAAUAGGGAAUAGGAGCACAUUCCAGAUCAUCUGUGGAUUUUGGGGUCAUUAUCUCAUUUGCCCAGUUGUAUCUUGGCAUCGAUCCAUCUUUUAAGGCUGGGUAGAGACACAGUUUCUAGCAUAACUUAACUUUGAUCCCUCCCACUGUCUAAAUAUAAUCUGGAACUUCUUGCUUCAGGAACAGCGUUCUCACAACUCAGCCAUACCUUGCUCUCCUGUAUCUUUAUUCAGCAACAAUGAAGAUAUAUAUCUCUGUCCUGGAGGUAUUCUAAACUUUGCCUGUAUCCCUGUUCCCCAAACCACUAGUUUCUAAGUAGGUUCUCUAGUCUUUGCUAUCUUCUCACCACUGAUCUGAUUUGUAGAUUGGCACUUUGCGCAUUAGAAAGUAUUGUCAGAGUUACUGAGUAUGUCAGAAGACAAGCUUGCUGAGUAUACAGCAUACAAAUGCCAUAGUAGAAUUUUAAAAAUUAUACUGCAUUUUACAUUUUAAUGUUUCUUAAUUUUAGCUUCAUAUGCAGAAAAGUAGAUUCUGAAAGAUAAGAGAACUAUCUAGAUUCUGCCAGCUUUCUGAGCUAAAAAGUUAGACGUGGAAAUAUGGAAAGGACUACAUUAUAUGAGUAUUAUCUUCCCAUUCCCCAAAGUGGGUUACAUUUUGGAGAGUACCAGUACAAAUAAUUUCAACUGGAAAAAGAUGUCAAACCAAAUUUAUAUAUAGUGUUUA